UGGCUCAGGACGAACGCUGGCGGCGUGCCUAAUACAUGCAAGUCGAACGAACUCUGGUAUUGAUUGGUGCUUGCAUCAUGAUUUACAUUUGAGUGAGUGGCGAACUGGUGAGUAACACGUGGGAAACCUGCCCAGAAGCGGGGGAUAACACCUGGAAACAGAUGCUAAUACCGCAUAACAACUUGGACCGCAUGGUCCGAGYUUGAAAGAUGGCUUCGGCUAUCACUUUUGGAUGGUCCCGCGGCGUAUUAGCUAGAUGGUGGGGUAACGGCUCACCAUGGCAAUGAUACGUAGCCGACCUGAGAGGGUAAUCGGCCACAUUGGGACUGAGACACGGCCCAAACUCCUACGGGAGGCAGCAGUAGGGAAUCUUCCACAAUGGACGAAAGUCUGAUGGAGCAACGCCGCGUGAGUGAAGAAGGGUUUCGGCUCGUAAAACUCUGUUGUUAAAGAAGAACAUAUCUGAGAGUAACUGUUCAGGUAUUGACGGUAUUUAACCAGAAAGCCACGGCUAACUACGUGCCAGCAGCCGCGGUAAUACGUAGGUGGCAAGCGUUGUCCGGAUUUAUUGGGCGUAAAGCGAGCGCAGGCGGUUUUUUAAGUCUGAUGUGAAAGCCUUCGGCUCAACCGAAGAAGUGCAUCGGAAACUGGGAAACUUGAGUGCAGAAGAGGACAGUGGAACUCCAUGUGUAGCGGUGAAAUGCGUAGAUAUAUGGAAGAACACCAGUGGCGAAGGCGGCUGUCUGGUCUGUAACUGACGCUGAGGCUCGAAAGUAUGGGUAGCAAACAGGAUUAGAUACCCUGGUAGUCCAUACCGUAAACGAUGAAUGCUAAGUGUUGGAGGGUUUCCGCCCUUCAGUGCUGCAGCUAACGCAUUAAGCAUUCCGCCUGGGGAGUACGGCCGCAAGGCUGAAACUCAAAGGAAUUGACGGGGGCCCGCACAAGCGGUGGAGCAUGUGGUUUAAUUCGAAGCUACGCGAAGAACCUUACCAGGUCUUGACAUACUAUGCAAAUCUAAGAGAUUAGACGUUCCCUUCGGGGACAUGGAUACAGGUGGUGCAUGGUUGUCGUCAGCUCGUGUCGUGAGAUGUUGGGUUAAGUCCCGCAACGAGCGCAACCCUUAUUAUCAGUUGCCAGCAUUAAGUUGGGCACUCUGGUGAGACUGCCGGUGACAAACCGGAGGAAGGUGGGGAUGACGUCAAAUCAUCAUGCCCCUUAUGACCUGGGCUACACACGUGCUACAAUGGAUGGUACAACGAGUUGCGAACUCGCGAGAGUAAGCUAAUCUCUUAAAGCCAUUCUCAGUUCGGAUUGUAGGCUGCAACUCGCCUACAUGAAGUCGGAAUCGCUAGUAAUCGCGGAUCAGCAUGCCGCGGUGAAUACGUUCCCGGGCCUUGUACACACCGCCCGUCACACCAUGAGAGUUUGUAACACCCAAAGUCGGUGGGGUAACCUUUUAGGAACCAGCCGCCUAAGGUGGGACAGAUGAUUAGGGUGAAGUC
rnacentral:rRNA from 1 species